UACACACUUCCUUAGAUCCACUCCUGGGACUCGCCAGAUAACAGUUUACUAUGGCUUGCAGGCGUGAGAAUUUGUGAUCUUGGCAUCACAUUUUCUUUCCCCGCUUGUUGUGGUGGGCGAUUGUCUGUACGGCGCAGUCCAACAGCCUUUUAGCUGCACAUUGGGAGUGCAUGAGUCAUGGGUGUGUGACAGUAGCCUACUUCACAGUUGCUUAGUUUGUUGUUAGAGGUGUACCCAGUGUAACACU